rnacentral:tRNA from 1 species
GAGGGUAUAGCUCAGUGGUAUAGCACAUACUUAGCAUGUAUGAGGUCCUGGGUUCAAGUCCCAGUACCUCCU